AGUUAUUAUUUUUGACUUAGACAGGUAAUAAAGAAUUUUGUGCUAGUCCUUCUGUUUAUCUUUACUGUUUCUUCGUGCCUAUAAGUAUCAGGACAUUACCGAUGAAUCUUCUUUUGAGCUUGGUAUGGAACCAUGCAUUGUAUUAUGUGGUGGCUCUAACAAUACUAUAAAAAUAUACCUAGAACAAGAACCUGUUACGGAAAAAUGUGACUCAUUUGGAGGAGCAUUGCAUUGCUUAAUUGCACUUUAUUUUGUCUUUAAUUUGGAAUAUCCCAAAGAAGCAUCCUGCAUUUUGGAGUUCCUUCAAAGAUAUAUUUCAAAAAUACACCCCGAAGCAGGAACCAAAUCGAAAAAACAAAAUCUUUCGAAAAGAAAAGUUAUUUCAUAUUUAACGAAGUUAGCCAAGAUAGAAUAAUAAAUUAUUAUUUUAUUAAAUAAUUAUUUAUAAAUUAUUAUAUUAUUUCUUUUUUUGAGUCCAUAAAUGUUAAAUGAAUUUGUUCCAACCUUAAA